rnacentral:rRNA from 1 species
UACAGAGGUCUCGAGCGUUGUUCGGAUUCAUUGGGCGUAAAGGGUGCGUAGGUGGCGGGGUAAGUCGGAUGUGAAAUCCCGGAGCUCAACUCCGGAACUGCAUUCGAUACUGCCUUGCUUGAGUACUGGAGAGGAGAUCGGAAUUUACGGUGUAGCAGUGAAAUGCGUAGAUAUCGUAAGGAAGACCAGUGGCGAAGGCGGAUCUCUGGACAGUUACUGACACUGAGGCACGAAGGCCAGGGGAGCAAACGGG